rnacentral:rRNA from 1 species
GACGGAGGGUGCUAGCGUUGUCCGGAAUCAUUGGGCGUAAAGGGCGCGUAGGUGGCCUGCUAAGCGUGCGGUGAAAGCUCGGGGCUCAACCCCGAGUCGGCCGUGCGAACUGGUGGGCUUGAGCACUGUAGAGGCAGGCGGAAUUCCGGGUGUAGCGGUGGAAUGCGUAGAGAUCCGGAAGAACACCGGUGGCGAAGGCGGCCUGCUGGGCAGUAGCUGACACUGAGGCGCGACAGCGUGGGGAGCAAACAGG